rnacentral:lncRNA from 1 species
CUUUGAGACUUCACUUCUGUCACAGAGAGCUUGAAGCUAUAGAUUUAGCUUUCAAUACGUGGUUCCAGGAAGCCCUUUGGCGCUCUCACCUCUGGUUGAUUUUGCUGGCAAUCCAUACCAGCAACAUCUGACUUCUAAUUGGCUUUGAUGUCUCUUUCCACAGGCUUUCAGUUUUCUCUUUCCACAGGCUUUCAGUGUACCGCCUUAAAAAGACCAUUGUUCUAUAUGGAGGGUCUGGCAUGCCCAGGUUUACAGAGCCAGGUGGAAGUCAGAGGAAAACUGGACAGAAAGCAAGACUUGUUAUAUACCAGAUGUUUUUCUCUGAAUUAAAUUUUCCAAGGAAAUGACAGAUGUGCCUCCAAAAGAUCAGGACAACUGAAAAAGGAAAAAAGACAGAAAAGGAACAUGGUGAGGUGAAAAGUCAACUGUAGUUGUAGUGUUUCCCUUUGGGUAGCCUUGACAAAUAGCUACCCAAAUAGCUUCAGCUGCAUUAUCUCAGGCAUUCUGAGUGACAUCCCAGAUCAUUCUUAUGAGUCUUCAGAAUUACUUUCCAGGAAGAGUGGUCGCUGGGGGCAGAACAAGAUGGUUUGGAGAGGG